rnacentral:snRNA from 1 species
CGGCGGGUCGAUCCGGGCGGAGGACAUUGU